rnacentral:rRNA from 1 species
AACGAGACCUUAACCUGCUAUUUAGUCGCUCGGUCUCUGUCCUUGCGCACUUCAUAGAGGGACUCUGCGGCGUCAAGCUGCGGUGAGGUUUAAGGCAAUAACAGGUCUGUGAUGCCCUUAGAUGUCCUGGGCUGCACGCGCGCUACACUGAUGCUUGCCUCGUGUUUACCCUCGGCCGAUAGGCCCUGGUAACCCCUAGUCUGCAUCGUGUUUGGGAUUGAUCUUUGCAAUUCUAGAUCAUGAACGAGGAAUGCCUAGUAUGCGCAAGUCAUCAGCUUGUGCAGAUUACGUCCCUGCCCUUUGUACACA